rnacentral:rRNA from 1 species
GAUGAACGCUAGCGACAGGCUUAACACAUGCAAGUCGAGGGGCAGCACGGGAGUAGCAAUACAACUGGUGGCGACCGGCGCACGGGUGAGUAACGCGUAUGCAACCUACCUAUCAGAGGGGAAUAACCCGGCGAAAGUCGGACUAAUACCGCAUAAAACAGGGGCACCGCAUGGUGAUAUUUGUUAAAGAAAUUCGCUGAUAGAUGGGCAUGCGUUCCAUUAGGUAGUUGGUGAGGUAACGGCUCACCAAGCCGACGAUGGAUAGGGGAACUGAGAGGUUGGUCACCCACACUGGUACUGAGACACGGACCAGACUCCUACGGGAGGCAGCAGUGAGGAAUAUUGGUCAAUGGGCGAGAGCCCGAACCAGCCAAGUCGCGUGAAGGAAGAAGGAUCUAUGGUUCGUAAACUUCUUUUGCAGGGGAAUAAAGUGCAGGACGUGUCCUGUUUUGUAUGUACCCUGAGAAUAAGGAUCGGCUAACUCCGUGCCAGCCGCCGCCGUAACAC